rnacentral:rRNA from 1 species
UACAGAGGGUGCGAGCGUUGUCCGGAAUCACUGGGCGUAAAGGGCGCGUAGGUGGCUUGGUAAGCGUGUGGUGAAAGCCUGGGGCUCAACCCCAGGUCUGCCGUGCGAACUGCCAAGCUUGAGCAUAGUAGAGGCAGGUGGAAUUUCGGGUGUAGCGGUGAAAUGCUUAGAUAUCGUCAAGAACACCGAUAGUGUAGACAGCUUACUAAGCUUUAACUGACGCUGAGGCACGAAAGUGUGGGGAUCAAACAGG